AGUGAACGCUGGCGGUAGGCCUAACACAUGCAAGUCGAACGGCAGCACAGUAAGAGCUUGCUCUUACGGGUGGCGAGUGGCAGACGGGUGAGGAAUACAUCGGAAUCUACUUUUUCGUGGGUGAUAACGUAGGGAAACUUACGCUAAUACCGCAUACGACCUACGGGUGAAAGCAGGGGAUCUUCGGACCUUGCGCGAUUGAAUGAGCCGAUGUCGGAUUAGCUAGUUGGCGGGGUAAAGGACCACCAAGGCGACGAUCCGUAGCUUGUCUGAGUGGAUGAUCAGCCACACUGGAACUGAGACACGGUCCAGACUCCUACGGGAGGCAGCAGUGGGGAAUAUUGGACAAUGGGCGCAAGCCUGAUCCAGCCAUACCGCGUGGGUGAAGAAGGCCUUCGGGUUGUAAAGCCCUUUUGUUGGGAAAGAAAAGCAGCAGGUUAAUACCCCGCUGUUCUGACGGUACCCAAAGAAUAAGCACCGGCUAACUUCGUG
rnacentral:rRNA from 1 species